rnacentral:lncRNA from 1 species
CAUAGGAAAGUGGCCCCACUCUCAGCAUGUCCAGGGAUAAACAGUUGGGGUAAUUCAAAUGUUUUAAUUAUGUCUCUCCUUUUUCUUUUCAUAGUCAAUGGAAAGUGGAAAGUAGGCAGGACAACAGGGCAAAGGCGGAGAGGAGGAAGACACUACUGGUGCCUCCAAGGAAGCAUCUUGGAACACAAGUCAGGAAAGAAAAGAUCCAGGUGAUCCUAGAUCAUGGCUUCCAGGAGAAUCUUUCUCUCCUGUGGCCACAGAGUCAGGACCAAGGCAGGUGCAGGGGCUGAAAGAGCUGCUAACCACUGAUGAGGAUUUCCCUCCGUCGGGGUGACUAGAACAUGUCCUAAAAACCCCUCAUUGUGAAGCGAUAUUCAAGCGACUUGUACACAACACAAAAAGAUGCGAGGGUGGCCCAUGGUCUGGGCUACCAGCUGUUCAUUUUCAUAAAGAGCAACGUGCUUUUCAGUUUAGGGUUUUAGUGGCAACUAGUGCCUGAUGCCAUAAAGCCCUGUAUCCCAACUGCUCCUCCUCUGAGGAGAAAGAAAUCUGUGCAAAGCACAAGGAUAUUGUUCAGAACUAAUGUGCUGAAUGGUCUCCAGUCAUGAAAAUCAUACCUAAGUUCACUGCAUCUCAAUGAAAAUGGCCCUGUUCCAUUGAGGAAAGCAAUCUACAGCCUUAUUGAAGCAGGUGAAUGUCUGAAUCAGAAUCAGAAUUUCUUACAUGCUUUUUACUUAAUGUAUUUUCCCAUUCUUUUUUCAAUAUUUUUUGGCAUAAGUACCCUAGCAAUAAAUGAUACAAAGUUACACUAGAGCAGGGGUUUGGGAACUACAGUCUAUGGGUUAAAUUCAACCAGUAACCUAUUUUCGCAGGAGCUAAGAAUGGUUUGCACAUUUUUAAAGGGUUACAAAAAAAAUAACAAAAAAGAAUAUGAGAUAAAGAUCACAUGUGACCUGCAAGACAAAAACAUUAUUAUUAUUAUUAUGGUCUUUCACAGAAAAGGUUUGCUGAAUCCUGCAUUAGAACAUUUUUUAUUUUCUUAAAUCCAAAAUUAUGAAUGAGCACUAGGAAAUAUAUCGAGUCACUUAUGAUGGAGCAUGAUAAUGUGAGAAAUAGAAUGUAUAAUAUGUAUGUGUGACUGGGUUGCCCUGCUGUACACUAGAAAAUAGAACACUGUAAACCAGCUAUGAUGAAAAAAUAAAAAUCUUUAAAAAAAUUAAGAGUGAUAAAAUAAAGAGGAACCAGAAUGUCAGUGGGUUUGCCUGAAGAUUUACAAGGAUUCUGUGAAGCAAGAGAAUCAUCUUGAAGACAGUAUAAGUUAUGGAAAUCUUAAAGACAGUAUAAGUUAUAAAGUGACCUGUCAUUAUAUAGUAUUAUAUAAAACAACUACUACAUUUAAAUCAUUGAUUAAUGCACUCAGAUCUCAUUUCUUUAUGCUGCAAACAUUUCUGAAAAACCAUUUCAAGGAUAGGCCAAAAAUGAGAAAGCCUCAAAUCAGCACUAAUUCUAAUGAGGAUAGGUACCACUUAUCCUGCCCUUCAGCAGGUUAAGUGUUUCACAUACAAUAUUUCAUUGAAUCUUCAAAACAGCCCCAUGAGAUGGACAGUACACCCCUCAUUUACAAGCUGAAGUGACUGAGGUCCAGAGAGGCUAAUGGCACAUCCAAGCCUCAAGGUUAGUAAGCUAUGGGACAAGACAAGGAUUUGAAUUCUGUCUGAGCUGAUCACAGACCCUAGCCGCGUAAUCAUUACAAUAGAAUCUUUACUCAAUAUCGUCUCCCUUAGAAGAGAGGCAGUAUACUUUCUUUUCACUUUUUUUUUUUUUAAAUACAGCACAGGGAGUUCCUCUUGUGGUUCAGCAGUAAUGAACCCUACUACAUCCAUGAGGAUGCAGGUUAGAUCCCUGGCCUCGCUCGGUAGGUUAAGGAUCUGGCAUUGCCAUGAGCUAUAGGUCGAAGAGGUGGCUCCGAUCUGGCAUUGCUGUGACCGUGGGGUAGGCCAGCCACUGUAGCUCAGGUUCGACCCCUAGCCUGGGAACUUCCAUAUGCCAUGGGUGCGGCCCUAAAAAAAAAAAAAUAAUAAAGUAAAUAAAUAAAUAAAUUUAAAAAAACAUGGCACAACCUGGCAAAUGGGAAGUCAUGACAUUGCCUGCCAGGUGAGUUUCACACUUCAAGAUCUCAGCUGCCUCCCUCCACCAUCCUUCUGAAGACACAUGUUCACCCUUUCUGAAGGUUUAAGAAUCCAUAAAAGGAUAACGUCUCUGGUCCUUUCACUGGGGUUUAAAAAGCUGGGAUGAGGGUUUCUUAUUUUCAUUUGAGGCUAUUUCAAGAGAGAACCUCUGAAUGAGGAUAAUUUUAGUUGAGUGUGUAUGCGCUGUUUCUUAUUUUUGCUCAGGCAGCACAGUCUUCCAAAAGGUGUAACUAAAAUAAGGUGCAAACCUGCGGGAUACUUCAUUGCUAGUUUUCUCUCCCACGUGUCAUCUCCCUCUCCUUUCUUCCUCCCUUCUGCUUGAGGUCUCCGCUUUUUCUACUAAAUACAGGAGUUAGAAAAUAACCUCCAGGCUGGAACAAAUGGGAGGAAAGGCUGGUUGCAUCUUUUUGUUUGAAAUAUCUAAUAGCUCCAGCCAAGACUAGGCCCUCAGUUUCUGACCUGUGCCUCUAGCUGUUAUGGGAACAGUUUUACAGGGAAGUUGUGCUAUCACAUCAAAAAAAAAACAAUUGUAAACUAGACUUAACCUUCCUCUAGAAUCCAGUUCUUUUUCCAGACAUAUUGCUGUCCACAACAUUACUUCUAGAUGCAGAGUUUCAUAAUACCUUUAUUUUCCUUUCUCUUCUGCCCCAAUUAAUCAGCAGGUCAAACUGAACCUGGCACCUACUGUUCUCCCACAUUUUCCCCUACUUCUCUUUCUAGACUUGCCAGAUCAUCAUCUGACACCUGGAUUCUGUCUGAGAGCUUUCAAUUUGACCCCUGUCUGGAAACUCUUGCCCUUCCCAUCCGAUUUCAGCACAAUAAAGUUCUCAAAAUUCAGAGGUGUAAAGUGAUAACCACCAUUUAUCUGCACACAUUUCUGCAAUGCCGGUAAAUUUCAGUGGCAAGGGCUUGUUUUUACUCCACAU